GUCAGCAGCCAUACCACCUGCAUUCCAGAUUUGGCUAAGGGGAAGUUAAGAAAGUUAGGGCCUGGUAAGUUCUUGAAUGAGAGACCAACUAGGAAAACUGGACUGCUGUUGGAA
rnacentral:rRNA from 1 species